rnacentral:rRNA from 1 species
ACGGUAACAGGCCCUUCGGGGUGCUGACGAGUGGCGGACGGGUGAGUAAAGCGUAGGAAUCUGCCCUGUAGUGGGGGACAACCUGGGGAAACUCAGGCUAAUACCGCAUACUCCAAAGUAGCAAUACUUUGGCAAAGUGGGGGACCUUCGGGCCUCACGCUAUUGGAUGAGCCUACGUCGGAUUAGCUAGUUGGUAGGGUAAAGGCCUACCAAGGCGACGAUCCGUAGCUGGUCUGAGAGGAUGAUCAGCCACACUGGGACUGAGACACGGCCCAGACUCCUACGGGAGGCAGCAGUGGGGAAUAUUGGACAAUGGGGGCAACCCUGAUCCAGCAAUGCCGCGUGUGUGAAGAAGGCCUGCGGGUUGUAAAGCACUUUCAGUGGGGAAGAAAAGUUGUAGGUGAAUACCCUGCAGCCGUGCCACUACCCACAGAAGAAGCACCGGCUAACUCCGUGCCAGCAGCCGCGGCAAUACGGAGGGUGCAAGCGUUAAUCGGAAUUACUGGGCGUAAAGCGCGCGUAGGCGGCAAACUAAGUCCGAUGUGAAAGCCCUGGGCUUAACCUGGGAAUGGCAUUGGAUACUGGUUAGCU